rnacentral:rRNA from 1 species
GACGAACGCUGGCGGCGUGCCUAAUACAUGCAAGUUGAGCGCUGAAGGUUGGUACUUGUACCAACUGGAUGAGCAGCAAACGGGUGAGUAACGCGUGGGGAAUCUGCCUUUGAGCGGGGGACAACAUUUGGAAACGAAUGCUAAUACCGCAUAAAAACUUUAAACACAAGUUUUAAGUUUGAAAGAUGCAACUGCAUCACUCAAAGAUGAUCCCGCGUUGUAUUAGCUAGUUGGUGAGGUAAAGGCUCACCAAGGCGAUGAUACAUAGCCGACCUGAGAGGGUGAUCGGCCACAUUGGGACUGAGACACGGCCCAAACUCCUACGGGAGGCAGCAGUAGGGAAUCUUCGGCAAUGGACGAAAGUCUGACCGAGCAACGCCGCGUGAGUGAAGAAGGUUUUCGGAUCGUAAAACUCUGUUGGUAGAGAAGAACGUUGGUGAGAGUGGAAAGCUCAUCAAGUGACGGUAACUACCCAGAAAGGGACGGCUAACUACGUG